CUGCUGGCUGUUCGUGGGUGGACGACAAGACCAGGGCUUCCAAUGCGAUGGCCGCCGCAAGCGACUUGUUGUUCAUGUCUCGGCCUUGACUACGAUAAACCCUCUAUGACUUAGGGUUGUUGGGCCAACCACUUGUAUGUGACUUAUAGAAGCAGAACCCAGCUGCUCGUGCUGUGAAUGGGGAUAUGUAUACUGAUAUCAUACCUGAGAACUCCGUGAUCUUUUGGCAGAGGGGAUCACGUAAAUGUGUUGAUUAUUUGGUUGAAGCGUUUGUGCAGAAGCUGAGCCAAUUAGUGCUACUUUAGCUGCUGUAAAAGCCACUCAAGAUAAUGUAUGAGGUGUUGGAGCAGAUUGGUAAAAGAGCAUUUGGCCCUGCUUUGUUGUGAGGCGCUAGUCUACAAGUACAUCCCCAAUGGCACACUGAAAGAGAUCCUCACAGAUGCAAUUUCUCGCAGACCCAUCAAUCAGGAAAUUCGGGCUUGGUG